rnacentral:lncRNA from 1 species
UCGGCCAGCUUGCUCAGCUUUAUAGCUGAUGUUUGGCUCUAAUAUUAAAGAGAUUAAGUAUAUAAAAAAUGAUGGUCAAGUGGUGCGUUCAAACGGUGGUGCGCGGGACCCGCCGGCUUGCGCCGUUUUUCUUAAAAACUCAUGUACUAGGGUUUUUACUUCCCAUUCACUAACCAUAUAUCAUUGCUACCAAUCACAUAUUAUUUCUCACUUAAAAGUCACUUUUAAUCCUCAAAUUUAAUCCUUACUCUGUACCAAAAAUUCAUCCGGCGAAAAAAUCGCGAAAACCCUAAUUUUGCUCCAAACUUGAAACCGAAGCGUAAAACCCUAUUUUCUAGGUUUACUUACACUUAUUGUGAAAUAAUUGGGUAGUGGGCUUUGACAAAUAAUAAUUUUCAAAUAAAAGGGUAUUUUUGAGAAAAAUACAAGAAAUUUGCGAGUCCUCACAUUCUCUCCCCCUUAAAAAAAUUUCGUCCUCAAAAUUUUACCUUCAGUUGCCUCAGACGAGUCUGGAACUUGUCGGUUGUCUAAAGCAUAAACCUUUGCCGGUCCGCUAGUUCGUUUCCCUCCUUCAUUCACUUGUGAUUUAGCUCCAUCCAGUUGCAGAGUAUUGCUUUCACGUGACUGUCUUCUCGGACAGUUGCUAACUUGAUGAUCGCCACUUCCGCAGAUUAAACAUUUCCGCCCCUUUCUCC